AAAAAGGGCUUCUGCCGUGACUGGCACACGCCGGGCAGCUCGUUUGUCCUGCUUGCGGAAUUGAAAUCAAGAGAUUCUGGAAGCAUAAGUUUUGGGCCCCUGGGCAGCUGGUGAUCAUUGGUCCCAGUGUCCUG